CGUUGAAACACCAGUGCCCGUAGGGUCACCGAAGUUAAGCAACGCUGAACAUGAUCAGUGCCUAGAUGGGUGAACGCUUGGGAAAAGCAGGUGCUGUAA